rnacentral:tRNA from 2 species
GGCCCCUUAGCUCAGUUGGUUAGAGCAGGCGACUCAUAAUCGCUUGGUCACUGGUUCAAGUCCAGUAGGGGGCCACCA